CUGACUUUCACACCUGAUCCACAUCAUCAGUUUAAGCGCUACUAUCGGUACCUGAGGGGUGACCACGCCCCCCGUCUAGCCAGCCAAUCAUAUCUGACUCCACGUCUGGCGUCUGGAGACACCUGUGUGCUCCUGAUGGCUCGUGUUGAUUGAUCUGCUCGUUAGCUCCUCUCCUCAAACUGUUCGCGUCCAAUUGGAUCCUGUUCGCAAGUCGGGUUGAACUGGACCUUGCGGCCUCGGAGGAGACGCGAACGCGGAGCGGAGUGACGCAGGUGCGGUGCGAAGGUGCAGGGGUCCAUGUGCCGUAGAUUUCGGUCCCUUCAUCCACCGCCAACCUCUCCCCAUCCAACGCAUACUGACCCUGGAGCAGCUGGAGGUCGCUGCAUCCUUCAGUCCUUGGUCUCUAUGAGAACCUGAAGUGAACGCUGGUGAACAUCCUUCGUGGCUUCUCUGAACUGACUGGCUCUGACUCUGCCGCCAAGGACGGGGCAGCUGAUCGAGGGCUGAGUGGACUCUGUCUGCUGGCUGCGCCGCGGACUCAGCUGUUCUAGGCCCGAGCAGCUGUUCUAGGUCCAGCCCCGCGUUCACCGGUGCCGCAUGGCUGCCUCCUUCCAGCUGAGCCGAGGCCUGUUGUCUGCGCUAUAUUUAAUACGUCAGUGAGUAAUUAAUAAGCUUCUAUUAAUAACAGUGGGGGACGUAAAAGAUCCCUUGUCUUCGCCCCUCCCUGUUGUAGCUCAUGACUUAGCCCAGCGGCCCAGUUUAUUAGGGCAGUAGCUGUCGGAGGGCCACUUGGGGUGAAGACUUGCACGUGUUUCAUACACCCUAAUUUAACCUCAACGUAAGGAAUGAUAGCAGCUACCGAAAAGGUGUUAACUACCACAAAUAUGAGUAUACUGACGUAUAUAGUACAGUGUUUACAGCCAUGUUUAGAUCCAGAUAUGCAGAAGCUGUGAUCCGUUGCAGUUAAAGGACAUCAUCUGGUCUCAUUUGGUAAUAAAUUUUAAAAAAAACAACAUUCUUAAUUAGUAGACUUGUAACAAUAGCAUAUUGGUGCUUUUUUCCUGAAGGGCAAAAAAAUCUAAACAUAGGGAAUGAUUCACACAUUUAGCCAUUUAAUUGCUGAAUUAUUUGCAGGUUAUAUAAAUAUAUAGUGCAAGCAUUUAAUACUUUAUUUCCCCUUUACUCAGUGUUGAUUUACACUGUUUUAAAUCAUAUUAUUUCUGGCUUGCUACGUUUAAAAGUAUAUUUUUUUCCUGCCGCUCAAGGUUAAUGUGUGCGUGUGUGUCUGUUUGGUUACAGCCCAAGGUUAUGAAUAAUGCUGGAUUGCGUGAAAAGCUUAUAGUCGUAGAUUUGUUUUCAGUCGGGGCGGCCCAGCUGCAGAAAGCAACACCUUACGUUUCACUGACGGCUGUUGUUCGGGCCAGGUAAACACAGACAUUAAAUAUUAAACCACAGCUUCUUAAUUCCCCGUGGGACGUUGCUUUCGUGGCUGUAUUUCGUCAGACGCCCCAGUUUUCACUUUGCCAGCAAACGCCAACGUUCCGGCGCAGGUGACGCGCUGCUCUUGACCUUUAUCGAUCCCCUGAGAUGGGGAGAAAAUUGUCCUGGUUGCAGUUUUUAUCACGGCGAGUCCGGCAUCAGUUUGACGAGGCCGAGCUCAUUAUGAGUCGUAAAACUUCUCCCCGAGGCAAAAUCGCAGUGACCGAAAAACACAAAGGCAGGAAUCACACAAUUCACAACUGGUAGUGAGGUUGAAAUGAAAAUUGGAUU